rnacentral:rRNA from 1 species
AUACGAUCUGCGGAUGAAAGACGGGGACCGUUACGGGUCCGUCCGCGCGAUUGGAGCGGCCGAUGUCAGAUUAGGUAGUUGGUGGGGUAAAGGCCCACCAAGCCAACGAUCUGUAGCUGGUCUGAGAGGACGACCAGCCACACUGGGACUGAGACACGGCCCAGACUCCUACGGGAGGCAGCAGUGGGGAAUUUUGGACAAUGGGCGCAAGCCUGAUCCAGCAAUGCCGCGUGCAGGAAGAAGGCCUUCGGGUUGUAAACUGCUUUUGUACGGAACGAAAAAGUCCGGGUUAAUACCCUGGGCCCAUGACGGUACCGUAAGAAUAAGCACCGGCUAACUACGUG